AAUCUGCCCUAUCGUGGGGGAUAACGUAGGGAAACUUACGCUAAUACCGCAUACGACCGAGAGGUGAAAGCGGGGGACCGCGAGGCCUCGCGCGAUGGGAUGAGCCUAUGUCGGAUUAGCUAGUUGGCGGGGUAAAAGCCCACCAAGGCGACGAUCCGUAGCUGGUCUGAGAGGAUGAUCAGCCACACUGGGACUGAGACACGGCCCAGACUCCUACGGGAGGCAGCAGUGGGGAAUAUUGGACAAUGGGGGCAACCCUGAUCCAGCAAUGCCGCGUGUGU
rnacentral:rRNA from 1 species